rnacentral:lncRNA from 1 species
UAGACAUGAAUCUACUUAAGAAACUUAUAGCAUAAGCCAAAUCCGGCCUAGUGGUAAUCAUAGAAAACAUGAUUGAUCCUAUGGCUUUGGGAUGCUUUUCAUUUCUUCCAUUUCACUUUCAGUUUUAGGAGACUGAGAUGAUGAUAAAUUCAUUUGGGCUGCAAGAGGUACAUUAACUUUCUUAGCUUCUUUUAUGCCAAAUUUGGUUACAACUUUGUUCAAAUAAGCACUUUGUGUGAUAGUUAAAAUGUUCUCUUGCCUAUUUCUGUUGAUAACCGUUCCAAAAAUUUUCUUGGCAUUUCCUAAGUCCUUCAUAUCAAAUUCUGAUUUUAGAAGCCCUUUAAGUCUCAAAAUUUCAGCUUUACUAGAGCUAGCCAAUAGCAUGUCAUCAACAUUUAAAAGUAAAUAAACUUCACUACCAGCCCUAGUGUUAUUAUAGUACAAACAACGAUCAUAUUCACUCCUUUUGAAACCAAUUUUCAACACAUAUGUGUCAAACCUAAUGUACCAUUACCUAGGACUUUGUUUGAGCCCAUACAAUGACUUUUGCAACUUGCACACAUAAUCUCCCUUCUCCUUCACCUCAAACCCUUGAGGUUGAUUCAUAUAGAUCUCCUCAUCUAAUUCACCGUGUAAGAAAGUCGUCUU